GACGAACGCUGGCGGCGUGCCUAAUACAUGCAAGUCGAACGCAGUGGGGACGGGUGAGUAACACGUGGGUAACCUCCCAUCAGAGGGGAGAACACGUGGAAACAGGGGCUAAACCGAUACUGAUGGAUGAACUCGCGGUGCAUUAGCUAGUUGGUGAGGUAGCGGCCAACCAAGGCCACGAUGCAUAGCGGGCCUGAGAGGGUGAUCGGCCACACUGGGACUGAGAAACGGCCCAGACUCCUACGUGAGGCAGCAGUAGGGAAUCUUCGGCAAUGGACGAAAGUCUGACCGAGCAACGCCGCGUGAGUGAAGAAGGUUUUCGGAUCGUAAAACUCUGUUGUUAGAGAAGCGGUAUCUAACCAGAAAGCCACGGCUAACUACGUGCCAGCAGCCGCGGUAAUUC
rnacentral:rRNA from 1 species